UACAGAGGUCCCAAGCGUUGUUCGGAUUCACUGGGCGUAAAGGGUGCGUAGGUGGUCGGGUAAGUCUGAUGUGAAAUCUCGGAGCUCAACUCCGAAACUGCAUUGGAUACUAUUCGGCUUGAGAGUUGGAGGGGGGACUGGAAUUCUCGGUGUAGCAGUGAAAUGCGUAGAUAUCGAGAGGAACACCAGUGGCGAAGGCGAGUCCCUGGACAACUUCUGACACUGAGGAGCGAAAGCCAGGGGAGCAAACGGG
rnacentral:rRNA from 1 species